CAAGUCGAACGAGAAUCUACUGAAAGAGUUUUCGGACAAUGGAUGUAGAGGAAAGUGGCGGACGGGUGAGUAACGCGUGAGGAACCUGCCUUGAAGAGGGGGACAACAGUUGGAAACGACUGCUAAUACCGCAUGACGCAUAGAGGUCGCAUGAUCUUUAUGCCAAAGAUUUAUCGCUUCAAGAUGGCCUCGCGUCUGAUUAGCUAGUUGGCGGGGUAACGGCCCACCAAGGCGACGAUCAGUAGCCGGACUGAGAGGUUGAACGGCCACAUUGGGACUGAGAUACGGCCCAGACUCCUACGGGAGGCAGCAGUGGGGAAUAUUGGGCAAUGGGCGCAAGCCUGACCCAGCAACGCCGCGUGAAGGAAGAAGGCUUUCGGGUUGUAAACUUCUUUUAAGAGGGAAGAGCAGAAGACGGUACCUCUAGAAUAAGCCACGGCUAACUACGUGCCAGCAGCCGCGGUAAUACGUAGGUGGCAAGCGUUGUCCGGAUUUACUGGGUGUAAAGGGCGUGCAGCCGGGUCUGCAAGUCAGAUGUGAAAUCCAUGGGCUCAACCCAUGAACUGCAUUUGAAACUGUAGAUCUUGAGUGUCGGAGGGGCAAUCGGAAUUCCUAGUGUAGCGGUGAAAUGCGUAGAUAUUAGGAGGAACACCAGUGGCGAAGGCGGAUUGCUGGACGAUAACUGACGGUGAGGCGCGAAAGUGUGGGGAGCAAACAGGAUUAGAUACCCUGGUAGUCCACACUGUAAACGAUGAAUACUAGGUGUGCGGGGACUGACCCCCUGCGUGCCGCAGUAAACACAAUAAGUAUUCCACCUGGGGAGUACGAUCGCAAGGUUGAAACUCAAAGGAAUUGACGGGGGCCCGCACAAGCGGUGGAUUAUGUGGUUUAAUUCGAAGCAACGCGAA
rnacentral:rRNA from 1 species